AUCUUAGUGGUAAAGAAUCUGCCUGCAAUGCAGGAGACUGGGGUUCCAUCCCUG
rnacentral:tRNA from 1 species